CUUAACAGCUAGCUUAUGUCUUAGGGAAUAAAAUGCUUAUAAUUUGACCUGGUGUUUAUUCAUCUUGGCCGAGAAGAACGUGAUCGGCAGCUCUUCGUCGUCCUGGCUCCGCUGAAACAGUACCGCCCUAACGCCAACGUAAGUUGCGUCGCACUGGAUGAAGAAAUGUUUCUUAAAAUCCGCAUGAACAAGGACCGGUGCGCUCGUCAGGGCCAACUUCAUAUCGUCUACUGCUCGUGCUUUCUUUUCUUCGAAGCUUCGGAAAAUGGUGCUGCCAGUGUAGCCAAGUUCUUGACGAAGCGGCGAUACUAUCCCACUGUGACUUGGAAGGCUGGUGAAGGAAACUUCAUGGAUAUCGGGUAUAGUAUCCUCUGAAUCGCCGAAACUCGCGCACUCAUGCGCACAGCCCCCCUCCAACUAUAAACACGAGGCCCUGGGCCACUCCAAGCAGGUACUUUAAGUGGGUCUGGUAAUUGGAAGCCAAGAUUGGAAGGUCAACCAGAUACACAAAAACGUUCGAUCUCAGGUCCGCUGGUAUCACCCGGUCCAUUAGACUUACCAAGCGUUGCGCUGCGUUGCACAGUCCGAAUGGCAUCAUCCGGAACUGAUACAACGGUCUCCCAGGAAUUGUGAACGCCGUGUACUCCUUGCUCUUGUCAUUCAAUGCGAUCUGCCAGAACGCAAACUUGAGAUCCCUACUGGAGAUAUAGUGCGUCUGGUCGAUUCUGGAUAGGAUACCAUCAACACUGUGUGGAGGGUAAUGCCUUUCCACGCUAGACACUCCUAGGCCAUCCCCUUACAAGGUUAGAAACUCAUUCUUUACCUUUUCUAAUGCUUCCCUUUCCUCCGCCGACAGGCAGCAGGAUUCCGUCUCCUCCUUCGCUUCGUCCAUCUCCUACAUAUCCUUCCAUAAUCCACCGGCAAAUUCAAGCGUCCAAUAAUGGGCCGAUCUUUGCCAGACGCCGUUCUCACCUACGAGAACCGGAGCUCCACGAGCUCCCUGCAGUCCUUGCCGAGCACGCUGGCACUGACUCCCGUGUCCAACAAUCCUUUGAGGUCACGUUUGCAAACGGUCUAGGAUCUCCAGAUUCGAUGCGCUUUACGGACGCAACUUGCGACGCUUAGAUUUCCUGAUCUUGAAGCGGUCCCUCGCCUUUUACACUUUCCUCGAAUCUAGCCACAUGCCUAUCACUUGGUGUUCCGUGAAGAUCCGAUUGCUGACCUCUCAGUCGCAACCCUUCCUUCGCUGCUCUCGGAUUGCACAGCCGGCCGUUUUCCGCGCACUCAGAGACUUCGGUGACACCGUGUUCGGUGGUCAACAGCAAUAGCAAAACAGCAAUAGAAAAAUCAGUUCCAGCAACCUGCUAACCUUGCGGCUCGGGUUCUGGUGCGGAUCUCUUCCACCUGGAAGUGGACUACCUCAUUCACCCGCAUUCGGAAACUCCGUUUUACCUCAACGCAUUCCCUACAAAGCUCAUCAACGGUGAACACCUCCAUUGCGUAUACGUAUCGCGCUAUUCCGUCUCUCAAGCCUUUUUAAUAACCCAAUUGCCGAUCCGGCAUUGCUUUUUUCAGGCGUGAGUCGAGCUGCUGCAUGGAAUAUAAACCGACCAACAAGUCUACCAAUAGUUCUUUGUAAGCCCCCAGACAGUGGUAAAAAAAGUACGCCAAAAUACAUGGAAUAAAUAAGAUGAAUCAUAAACAACAGAACACUGAAUUAAAUUUUAUAGUCCCUACCUCACGGACUUUCAAUUUAAAU